UAGAUUGGGAUGAAGCAAAUAUCAAAUAAUCCAACACUUGAUCUGAGAUAUUCGUUAUCGAGUGAAGCUAACUGAUAUCACUUCUGAAUCUAA